AACCUAGCACACCUGCGGUGUGUACCUGCGGAGGGAUCAUUAAUGAAUAACCACUGGGUUGUAGCUGGCUCUUCGGAGUAUGUGCACGCCUAGUAAUUCAUUCCAUUCACACCUGUGCACCUUCUGUGGAACGGAGAGAAAUCUCUGUCUCAUGUUUUCUACACACGCUAAAUUCUAAGAAUGUAAUCUUGCGAAUAAAACCGCAUCUAAUAUAACUUUUAACAAUGGAUCUCAGAUCGG
rnacentral:misc_RNA from 1 species